CUAACAUAUGGUAUAUUAUAAGAGUUGGAGUCAUGUUAAGACAAAUGAGAAGAGCUGGAAAAAUUCAGAAAUACACCAAGGUGGAAUGGAACCACAUUAAUCAAACCAAAUGGGUCUAACAAGUCUAAAUUAAUAUAUCCAUACCUUCCCCACAUAUACCCUCACAUUAUACAUAAGUUUCAUCACCAAAUACCAACAAAACAUUUCUGCCCAAAACCUCUCUCUCUCCCUCUUCCAUCACGCCAGCUCUGGCGGUAAGAACCAGAGUUGGUUCUCAGCUUCAUUUCUUGGAUUUUUGCUUCUGAACCUAUGCAUGCAAAGCCUGAUAUCAUUCACUACAUAUAGUAGCAUAUUGGGAAGCAAAAAUAUCACCAUUUCGCGGCCAAGAAGUUCAAGAAAAAGAACCAUCUUCUUCAAUCAAGGAAACAGAUCAAAAAGAAUCAAGAAUCAAGUCUUGAGGAGAAGGAGAAGUCGGAUUAUUGCUGUUAGAAGUGAAGAUUUUUGUGCAGGAACUAGCAAACUAAGGUAAACUGAGGAAAGAGCGAAUAUGAAGUCGUGUCCCUACUAUCCUAGCAGAUGCAAGCUUGAACAUGAUCACCUUUUGAGAUUUACUUCUGUUAUGAAUACUGUUUAAACUUAUGAUUAAAAUCUUAUUUUGGGUUUGUAAUAACUAAAUUAAUUUUCAUGUGUGAUGAAUGUUUGAUUUAAGUGUAGCUCGUAGAGUCAAUCCAGCCAUAUUAAUGGGUUGACUCCAGCAGGUG